AUUGAACGCUGGCGGCAGGCUUAACACAUGCAAGUCGAGCGGAGAUGAGGUGCUUGCACCUUAUCUUAGCGGCGGACGGGUGAGUAAUGCUUAGGAAUCUGCCUAUUAGUGGGGGACAACAUUCCGAAAGGAAUGCUAAUACCGCAUACGUCCUACGGGAGAAAGCAGGGGAUCUUCGGACCUUGCGCUAAUAGAUGAGCCUAAGUCGGAUUAGCUAGUUGGUGGGGUAAAGGCCUACCAAGGCGACGAUCUGUAGCGGGUCUGAGAGGAUGGUCCGCCACACUGGGACUGGGACACGGCCCAGACUCCUACGGGAGGCAGCAGUGGGGAAUAUUGACAAUGGGGGGAACCCUGAUCCAGCCAUGCCGCGUGUGGGAAGAAGGCCUUAUGGUUGUAAAGCACUUUAAGCGAGGAGGAGGCUACUGAGACUAAUACUCUUGGAUAGUGGACGUUACUCGCAGAAUAAGCACCGGCUAACUCUGUGCCAGCAGCCGCCGUAAGAC
rnacentral:rRNA from 1 species